rnacentral:rRNA from 1 species
UACAGGGGAUGCAAGUGUUAUCCGGAAUUAUUGGGCGUAAAGCGUGCGCAGGCGGCUUUGCAAGACAGAUGUGAAAUCCCCGGGCUCAACCUGGGAACUGCAUUUGUGACUGCAUGGCUAGAGUACGGUAGAGGGGGAUGGAAUUCCGCGUGUAGCAGUGAAAUGCGUAGAUAUGCGGAGGAACACCGAUGGCGAAGGCAAUCCCCUGGACCUGUACUGACGCUCAUGCACGAAAGCGUGGGGAGCAAACAGG